CUACGGAGGGUGCAAGCGUUAAUCGGAAUUACUGGGCGUAAAGCGCGCGUAGGCGGAUAUUUAAGUCUCAUGUGAAAGCCCUGGGCUCAACCUGGGAACUGCAUGGGAUACUGGGUAUCUAGAAUACAGUAGAGGGUAGUGGAAUUUCAGGUGUAGCGGUGAAAUGCGUAGAGAUCUGAAGGAACAUCAGUGGCGAAGGCGACUACCUGGACUGAUAUUGACGCUGAGGUGCGAAAGCGUGGGGAGCAAACGAGAUUAGAAACCCUAGUGUCC
rnacentral:rRNA from 1 species